GUGAGGAAUAUUGGUCAAUGGAGGCAACUCUGAACCAGCCAUGCCGCGUGCAGGAAGACGGUCCUAUGGAUUGUAAACUGCUUUUAUUUAGGAAUAAACCCCCGGUCGUGCACCGGGGCUGAAUGUACUAAAAGAAUAAGCACCGGCUAACUCCGUGCCAGCAGCCGCGGUAAUACGGAGGGUGCAAGCGUUAUCCGGAAUCAUUGGGUUUAAAGGGUCCGCAGGCGGGUAAAUAAGUCAGAGGUGAAAUCCGGCAGCUCAACUGUCGCACUGCCUUUGAUAGUGUUUAUCUUGAAGUUUAGUGGAGUGGGCGGAAUAUGUCAUGUAGCGGUGAAAUGCUUAGAUAUGACGUGGAACACCGAUAGCGAAGGCAGCUCACUAACUAUGAAUUGACGCUCAUGGACGAAAGCGUGGGUAGCAAACAGGAUUAGAUACCCUGGUAGUCC
rnacentral:rRNA from 1 species